AUGAACGCUAGCGGAGGCUUAAUACAUGCAAGUUGAGGGGCAGCAUGAUAUACGCGAGUAUAUUGAUGGCGACCGGCGGACGGGUGAGUAAUAGGUAGGAGACCUACCUCAUACAGGGGGAUAGCAUAGAGAAAUCUGUGGUAAUACCCCAUGAGGUUAUAUGAAUAGAGGCAUAUAAUCAAAGCAUAAGCGAUUAUGCGGUAUGAGAGGGGCCUACUGACCAUUAGCUAGUUGGUGAGGUAAGGGCUCACCAAGGCGAAGAUGGUUAGGGGUUUUGAGAGAGAGACCCCCCACAUUGGAACUGAGAGACGGUCCAGACUCCUACGGGAGGCAGCAGUAGGGAAUAUUGGGCAAUGGGCGAAAGCCUGACCCAGCCAUGCCGCGUGAAGGAAGACGGCCUUAUGGGUUGUAAACUUCUUUACUACGCGAAUAGAGGUUAGUACGAGAUACUAAUAGGAAGGUAGUGUAGUAAAAAGCACCGGCUAACUCCGUG
rnacentral:rRNA from 1 species